rnacentral:rRNA from 1 species
CCUACGGGAGGCAGCAGUGGGGAAUAUUGGUCAAUGGGCGAGAGCCUGAACCAGCCAAGUCGCGUGAGGGAGUACUGCCCUAUGGGUUGUAAACCUCUUUUGUCGGGGAGCAAAAGCCGGACGUGUCCGGCUGUGAGAGUACCCGAAGAAAAAGCAUCGGCUAACUCCGUGCCAGCAGCCGCGGUAAUACGGGGGAUGCGAGCGUUAUCCGGAUUUAUUGGGUUUAAAGGGUGCGCAGGGGGAUUUUUAAGUCAGCGGUAAAAUCGUGGGGCUCAACCCCAUCCAGCCGUUGAAACUGGGGAUCUAGAGUGUGCGAGAGGUAUGCGGAAUGCGUGGUGUAGCGGUGAAAUGCAUAGAUAUCACGCAGAACCCCGAUUGCGAAGGCAGCAUACCGGUGCACAACUGACGCUCAGGCACGAAAGCGUGGGUAUCGAACAGGAUUAGAUACCCGGGUAGUC